GAAGUCAGAGGCACCAAUGUGAGGUUCCACCUGCUUUCCAGCACAUUCUUGGUUUCCUCACUUCUGCUAGACAACGUUUGAUCAGAAGGAACAGGGAACGAGAAGGAGCUGCUGGAUGACGAUAAGCCUGGGAAAGGGAGGCUGGGUGAGCAGAGACAGAAAAGAAACACCUACCUGCUGUGACCUCACAAACACCCAGGCUGAGUUUUGAUAAGACAGGUUGAAUCACACUGGGGUGACAGCCUCAUCCCUCCAGAUGCUGGUCAACCUCUGGGGCCCAAAGAAGACCAUCAGCUUCCUGGGAUGCUCUGUCCAGCUCUUCAUCUUCCUGUCCCUGGGGACCACUGAGUGCAUCCUCCUGACAGUGAUGGCCUUUGACCGAUACGUGGCUGUCUGCCAGCCCCUCCACUAUGCCACCAUCAUCCACCCCCGCCUGUGCUGGCAGCUGGCAUCUGUGGCCUGGGUUAUGAGUCUGGUUCAAUCGAUAGUCCAGACACCAUCCACCCUCCACUUGCCCUUCUGUCCCCACCAGCAGAUAGAUGACUUUUUAUGUGAGGUCCCAUCUCUGAUUCGACUCUCCUGUGGAGAUACCUCCUACAAUGAAAUCCAGUUGGCUGUGUCCAGUGUCAUCUUCGUGGUUGUGCCUCUCAGCCUCAUCCUUGCCUCUUAUGGAGCCACUGCCCAGGCAGUGCUGAGGAUUAACUCUGCCACAGCAUGGAGAAAGGCCUUUGGGACCUGCUCCUCCCAUCUCACUGUGGUCACCCUCUUCUACAGCUCAGUCAUUGCUGUCUACCUCCAGCCCAAAAAUCCGUAUGCCCAAGGGAGGGGCAAGUUCUUUGGUCUCUUCUAUGCAGUGGGCACUCCUUCACUUAACCCUCUCGUAUACACCCUGAGGAACAAGGAGAUAAAGCGAGCACUCAGGAGGUUACUAGGGAAGGAAAGAGACUCCAGGGAAAGCUGGAGAGCUGCUUAA
rnacentral:misc_RNA from 1 species